UGCGCAGGCGGGUUUGUAAGUCAGUGGUGAAAUACUGCCGCUCAACGGUAGGAUUGCCAUUGAUACUGCAAAUCUUGAGUUUGGAUGAGGUAGGCGGAAUGUGCAGUGUAGCGGUGAAAUGCAUAGAGAUUGCACAGAACACCGAUUGCGAAGGCAGCUUACUAAUCCACGACUGACGCUGAGGCACGAAAGCGUGGGGAGCGAACAGGAUUAGAUACCCUGGUAGUCC
rnacentral:rRNA from 1 species